UACGAAGGGAGCUAGCGUUGUUCGGAAUCACUGGGCGUAAAGCGUGCGCAGGCGGUUGUGCAAGACAGAUGUGAAAUCCCCGGGCUUAACCUGGGAAUGGCAUUUGGGACUGCAAGGCUUGAGUGCGGCAGAGGAGACUGGAAUUCCUGGUGUAGCAGUGAAAUGCGUAGAUAUCAGGAGGAAUACCGAUGGCGAAGGCAGGUCUCUGGGCUGACACUGACGCUCAUGCACGAAAGCGUGGGGAGCAA
rnacentral:rRNA from 1 species